UGGGGAAUAUUGGACAAUGGGCGAAAGCCUGAUCCAGCAAUGCCGCGUGUGUGAAGAAGGCCUUCGGGUUGUAAAGCACUUUCAGUGAGGAAGAAAAGUUUAGAGUUAAUACCUCUAAGCCUUGACGUUACUCACAGAAGAAGCACCGGCUAACUCUGUGCCAGCAGCCGCGGUAAUACAGAGGGUGCUAGCGUUAAUCGGAAUUACUGGGCGUAAAGCGUGCGUAGGCGGAUAUUUAAGUCGAAUGUGAAAGCCCUGGGCUUAACCUGGGAACUGCAUUCGAUACUGGAUAUUCUUGAGUAUAGUAGAGGAAAGUGGAAUUCCCGGUGUAGCGGUGAAAUGCGUAGAUAUCGGGAGGAACAUCAAUGGCGAAGGCAACUUUCUGGACUAAUACUGACGCUGAGGCACGAAAGCGUGGGGAGCAAACA
rnacentral:rRNA from 1 species